UACAGAGGGGGCAAGCGUUGUUCGGAAUUACUGGGCGUAAAGUGUGCGCAGGUGGCCGCGCAAGUCGAGUGUGAAAUCCCCGAGCUUAACUUGGGAAUUGCGCUCGAAACUACGUGGCUAGAGUGUGGCAGAGGGAGGUGGAAUUCCACGUGUAGCGGUGAAAUGCGUAGAGAUGUGGAGGAACACCAAUGGCGAAGGCAGCCUCCUGGGCCAACACUGACACUCAUGCACGAAAGCGUGGGGAGCAACAGG
rnacentral:rRNA from 1 species